rnacentral:sRNA from 1 species
ACCACCAAUAGUCACCCUUCUGCUUAUGCAGGGAGAGUGGAGGGAGGGGGCCUGCCAGCCACAUGCAAGAAAAGCCAGCUCAAAGCAGGGCCACAGUCCUCCUGCCCAUCUCCCCAGGAAGCACACUAAGAGUACCCCCCUGCGUGGAAAGCCAGAAGGGGCCAUGCAGAUAACCGUGUUUGGGAAUGCAGCAGCCAUCCUUCAACAAGGAAGCAACAGUCCAACCCCUCAGGAUGACAGAAGAUACAUACGGAAGCACAUAAAUGACAUUAGGGAGCGGUGCCCAUGUCCGGAUAUCUUAUGAUUGCAAGGCAAAAAGCCUCUUCAGUUGAUAGAGCCUUUUGGGUUCCAGCAGCCAAAAGUAGUAGUCUUAACUAACCCACACGGGAAGCAAGAGAUCCGACCAGGGAGCAUUUCAGGAAAAAAGACAAGGAGCUUCGCGACAACCCAGACACCACAUAUCUGGAGUGAACAGAUUA